rnacentral:rRNA from 1 species
AGAUUGAACGCUGGCGGCAUGCUUUACACAUGCAAGUCGAACGGUAACAGGCCGCAAGGUGCUGACGAGUGGCGAACGGGUGAGUAAUGUAUCGGAACGUGCCCAGUCGUGGGGGAUAACGCAGCGAAAGCUGCGCUAAUACCGCAUACGAUCUAUGGAUGAAAGCGGGGGACCGUAAGGCCUCGCGCGAUUGGAGCGGCCGAUAUCAGAUUAGGUAGUUGGUGGGGUAAAGGCUCACCAAGCCAACGAUCUGUAGCUGGUCUGAGAGGACGACCAGCCACACUGGGACUGAGACACGGCCCAGACUCCUACGGGAGGCAGCAGUGGGGAAUUUUGGACAAUGGGCGCAAGCCUGAUCCAGCAAUGCCGCGUGCAGGAAGAAGGCCUUGGUUGUAAACUGCUUUGUACGGAACGAACGGUCUGUAAUACCUGGGCUAAUGACGGUACCGUAAGAAUAAGACACCGGCUAACUACGUGCCAGCAGCCGCGGUAAC